rnacentral:rRNA from 1 species
UACAUGUGGGGCAAGCGUUGUUCGGAAUUACUGGGCGUAAAGGGCUCGUAGGCGGCCAACUAAGUCGGAUGUGAAAUCCCCAGGCUUAACCUGGGAACUGCAUCCGAUACUGGUCGGCUUGAAUCCGGGAGAGGGAUGCAGAAUUCCAGGUGUAGCGGUGAAAUGCGUAGAUAUCUGGAGGAAUACCGGUGGCGAAGGCGGCAUCCUGGACCGGCAUUGACGCUGAACAGCGAAAGCUAGGGGAGCAAACGGG